CUGCUGAGCCGGGUUCAAGAGCUAUGGCUACUUUCGUUUUGAAGUAAAUCAAAUUUAGAGUUAAAACAGUUGUUGCAAAGAAAAUAUAACGUUUUGGAAUUAGUUUUUAGGGACAGCUUUAUUCAACACCGCUGUCGAUGAACCUAGAUGUCAGGCCUUCCACAGCCCAAUGCCACAGCAAAAUAUGUGCAAACGAAAGACAAUUGCUGUCAACUGCAAUCUGGGUUACAUGAACGUAUUACAACCAAACAUGUUGCAGUUCCUGACAAGAACCCAUACCCGUAGCCAGGGGGGGGGUGCGUUUGGUGCGUUCGCACCCAAUGUUUUUAGACGAGUAAAAAAUUGUACUAUAAGUUGAGAGGUUGUGACAGCAAAAUUUGAGAAGAUCUAAGAAGCCGGUCCCCGCAAAAUGGAAUUGGAAUCUUUGUUACAAAUAGAUAUUUGUUUUCUGUAUAAUGCUAAAUUAUUAACCUGUUACUCUAAUCCGUAUAAAAUUGAUAAUUAAUUAUAGAUAUUUGAUACUAAACGAUUGUUUUGUAACCUUUGUCAUCGUUAGUAAUGUCUUUAACUGUAAUAGAUAUCAUAACAAAAUGUUGAAGCCUACUUAUUGUGGGUUGAAAUUCCAGUCCAAUAACCUUUUUCAACAAUUAUCUAAAUGGCUGGAAAAAGCAAUUUGAUUAACUUGAAUAAAUAAAUAAUCUUAAUUCUUAUAAAAAAGAAAAUAUAUUUUAGAUGAUAAUUAACGGAAUGUUAUGUCAGCUUCCGAAAAUGACUGAUAUCAAAGGACAUACUUCGACUAUUGCCGAAGACUAAUGGGUCACUGGUUAAUAACUUUGCAUUAUACUACGAUUUAUAACAAGAACAUAAUUGGAAAGCAUUUUCGACAGACUGAGUUGUCUUUUUGUUAUAUCCCCGUACAACCAUUUUCGGAUCCCCUCAAUGGUAUUCCAGCAAAAAAUAUCAGCUAUGCUCAAGUCAUGAUAGGUUUUUUUUUGUUGAAUGACAAGAAAACAAAUCAUUGUUACUAAGCAAUGAAGCUUUCUUUUGUAGUUUACCAACACGUAAUAGCAUCUGUUCUGCUCCACAUACAUAACUUUCCACAAUGUUUUAAUUAUGUCAAACUUGACACUAAGAAUGUCAUAUUUUUAAACAGUUGUUAUAAUGAAUUUAAAACGUUAUAACAUAUGAUCGGAUGGCCGUUAACGUUUAAUUUUCAUCAACUGUGACGGAUCUUGAGCAUAUAAUGGGCAAAUAAGUACAUCUUUUUUUCUUCAACGUCCUGGUAUACAUUGUUAAGGACUUUGAGACCAUAGGAACAGUAGUUUGUGGUUAUAGGGUCUAAAUGAAGUCUAAAGUGUUAUAUAUUUCUGAAAUUCGUUUAGAAAAAGAUAACUAAUUUGUUAAAAAAUAGUUUAAAAAAAAAAACAAGUUAUACCGUUUUGUUUUCUUUUUAGUAUUGAUACACAUUAGAGAAGACCCAGUUUUGUUAAUCAGUGUUUGUUGUACGAUACACUAUUAGCACGUUUAGAGCAAUGCUAUGCAUCUGGUACUAUCCAUAUUAGCAGACAAACAAUUGUUUUGAAAAAAAGUCAAAUAUUUCUAUUUAAUUCGCUGGAUUUAUGAAUGGUAGAAUGUUGACAUGGUAAAACACACCAAUUGUAUCAAGAUUCCAAGAUUCCAAUAAAUAAUGAUAUUUUA